UACGUAGGCAGCAAGCGUUGUUCGGAGUUACUGGGCGUAAAGAGUGUGUAGGCGGUUUGCCAAGUCCGGUGUGAAAUCUCCCGGCUUAACUGGGAGGGUGCGCCGGAAACUGGCAGGCUGGAGUGCGGGAGAGGAGAGCGGAAUUCCUGGUGUAGCGGUGAAAUGCGUAGAGAUCAGGAGGAACACCUGCGGUGUAGACGGCUCUCUGGACCGCUACUGACGCUGAGACACGAAAGCGUGGGGAGCAAACAGG
rnacentral:rRNA from 1 species